UCUACUUCUGUUAAGAAGGCAACCCAGCUGAGGGAUAGAGUUUCAGAGACAUGAAGAGUGUGAAGUGACCUGCCAUGUAUGUACCAGAUCUGCUUGAUGAAAGUCAAAUGCCUUUCUAAAUUCAUCACCUGUAUGAUAAAGCAUCAGGAAAUUUAUCUCGACAUGUGGAGUUAUGCUGUUGGUUGCUGUGAAUUCCAUUUUUAUGGUUUUGUCAUCAUGAACAUUUUAGUGUUCUUGUAAAAAAGAGCACGCAGUUUCUUUAUGGAAUCGUGUGG